UACGUAGGGUGCGAGCGUUAAUCGGAAUUACUGGGCGUAAAGCGUGCGCAGGCGGUUUUGUAAGCCAGAUGUGAAAGCCCCGGGCUUAACCUGGGAAUGGCAUUUGGGACUGCAAGGCUUGAGUGCGGCAGAGGAGACUGGAAUUCCUGGUGUAGCAGUGAAAUGCGUAGAUAUCAGGAGGAAUACCGAUGGCGAAGGCAGGUCCCUGGGCUGACACUGACGCUCAUGCACGAAAGCGUGGGGAGCAAACGGG
rnacentral:rRNA from 1 species